CGUGACUGGUCUAAGCUAAAGCUAAUAGCUGCGCUGCCGGAUUAGGACAUUGCCUGGACCGAUUUAAAAACACUCUUUCUCACUUAUCCAACUCUGAGGAAUAUGCCAAACCAUCAUGGAAACCUCCUCUGCUUUAGCUGAGAGGCUGCACAAGGCUGCCGUGACGUGGGCGGACAGACAGAUGCUUUGACCACCUGCAGUGUAGUGUUGGCGGAUGACUUCACGGCAGACUUUAAUGUGAAAUCCAUUGACGGCAGAUACAGGCUCAGCUGGCAGACUGUUGGAAAAAAAAAAACAACCUAUAAGUAAGAGAAGAGAGUGGGAGAGAGAGCAUAGCGCUGGAAUUUCUUGUUCUGAUAUUUUAGUGAAGAAAGGAAAGUGAGGUCCCAGGUGCAUCAUAACAGGAAGGUGUUCGGUCUGUGGUUGGGGACCACGUAGAGCUUAUGUCUGGAGGAAGACCUCCACCGGAUCCUGGUGCUGACCUCCGUGGAAGCUGAAGAAUGAAGAGUUGGUUGGCAGUGAAACGGAUGUGCAACACUUCAACGCCGUCUCCCCGACAUCGUUCCUGGCCGCACUUUUGGCUGUUUUGCAGCCUUCGUCGCUCAUAGUGUGAACACAAUUUCUCAGAUGAUAUAUAAAACCCCCGCAGCCCGCUCAGAAACUACUGAGGAUGGAAAUAAAAGAAAGAUGAAACUUUUUGUCAGGUUUGAGAAUGUGUGAAGAUCAGUGAUGAGUAGUUUUAGUCAUUUGAUCAAACAUCGUGCUGAUGUGGAAAUCCGGAGACAUGUACCGCUUGGAGAUGAAAAGAAAAAAGAAAAAACAUUUACGUUUUCAUUUAUUUUGACACAUUUAUUCAUAUUUAAACUGCUGUGUCUGU